UCGCUCGCGAGGUCGGUAGUUUCCCCACCUCCAUGCUGUGACACGGAACGGGCUAUAUAAGACCAGAGAAAGACGUAAAGGCCCCUUUCCUGUCGAGAAUGACGGCGCUCCCCGCGUAAAGGGCAGGAAGCCGCAUCAAACAUUACAUAAAGUGAGAUGACAUGACAUCAUCACAUCAUCGGCUACACACCCUUAUUAGCCCCAGGGUGUGUUACGUUAAUAUUUAUUACCAUCAUCAGACGUCAGAAAAUAAGCCCAACUAUCAUUUCGUCACAACAUAAAAUGACGGGACUUUUAUUGAGUCUUCAAGGAAAAAGUA